AUAAAAUAGGUUUUGUGAGUGGACGGUAAUUCUAUGCGAACAAAGUAACUCAAAUGGUCAAUUAACAAGAGUGAAUUAAGCAUAGAUCCGAUUCAAAAGACAAUACUGAAAAGAAGUCCAAAAAGGAGGUGAGAGAUUUGAAUUAAACGAAAAGAGGGAAACUAGUCAUGGAUCCAAAUUAAGUCAUAACUACAAGGUUUUAACUAAUAAUGGGAGGUAAAUCCUCAGGAGGUCCCGGAAUUAACUGGGGAUGAGAGGUAAAUCUAAUGCCCAAAAUUGAGAAAGAAGUACAAAUUUGAGAGCCGUCUAGAUGUAGAAAAAUUAGAAUUAACGAUAAAGUAGAUAGUCAAGGGAAACAGCAGGUCGAGGGUUAGUUACCUGGCUGUUUGAAGCCCGGAAAAGAGAAGAUGAGGGGACAUACAGAGAGAGAGGUAGAGACGAGAGAGAGAGUAAGGAGUAUCAUUGCCGGAGAAAUGCUUGGACCUUUAAAUUAGGGCAAUUUUCUGGGAAUUGUAGUAUGUGCCUGAUUUUACGAUUACAGACAAUUAUAAAUAGGGUUAUAUGCAAGGAGUCUUCAUGAUUUCAAUAGAUUUGUUGGUCCAGAGGUAUAAUUCUCGCCUGUCACAUGGGAGGCCCGGCUUCGUUUCCCAGCCUAUGCUGGAUUUCUGAUUUGUAAUUAAACUAUUGGUAUGUUUUGCCUGGAAAGAUAAGGUUGUUAGUGUUUGUUUAAGGGAUAAAUAGAUUGUUUAGGUUCAAUUGAAAGACUAAUUCAUUCAAAAUAGCGAGGUGAUUUCGAUGUGUUACGUUGUCUGUUUCCUAAAUGGUCUGCUGGAAUAACGUAUUGAGGAUAGGAGUCGUAUUUAAAUAACACAGAUAAUCAUCGUUAUCACCAUCACAGAUAAUGGCGAUAGAGUUGUGCCCACCGAAAUGUUUUUUAUUCUUAUGGAUUGACUGAUGUAUGUUAUAAAUUUGGCGAAGUACAUGUUACUUUUUAAGUUUUGGACAUCUUUUAUAAGUGUGAAGCCGAAAGAGAAGAGAAAGUUGUAAAGUUUGGUUAUACUCUUAUGAUAGAGAACAAAAGCAGAUUGACUGAAGGUGCUUUUCCUUAAGGGAACUAUACAGUCAUCUCAUGGCGGACCUUGUCCAUCUGCUGCCAUAAGGUUUGGGGUUUCUGUUCAACAAAACUAAUGAUUGGAGGGAGUACAAUGGAUUAUAAUUUUUAUUAAGUUUUGUUUGUGGUCAACGUUUGGGUUUCUGAAUCGGUGUUGUAUAAUGAAAUGCUGAACAAGUGGUUGUAUUUUUUUUCUGGGAAAAGGAGUUUCAUUUUCUCUCUUUGGAAUGUUUCCUAGAGUCACGAUAUCUUAAAGGGGUACACACACACAUGGAAUUUUAGAAGUAUUCUUUUCUGAGUUUUAAUUAAACACGUGAAUUCUUUAUAGAAGGGGGUGUUCUGGGAUACAUGUAGAAAAUGUGACGUUUUUUCUUUAAUUUGUCUAAUAUAGUAAAACACUUCUUUUGAAAGGGUGGUUUGACUUAUGACCUCUAUCAUGGUUCUCCUGUGUGGUCUGAUUAGCCUCAUGGGAGGGCCAUUUGGAUAAUGCAUUUAAGGUCAUUUGUAAAACUGAUUUUAAGGUAAUAUGUGUAAUUGAUAAUUAUGGAGUUUAUAGUUUUUCAACAUAUUUGAACCAAUGAGAAGAAAGAUAGGGCAUAACCUUUGACGUAGGGUAGGCUUCCUUAAGUCUCUCUUCCUAUGGCCAUAAGGGUACAAUAAUUUUUCUUUGUGGGUUUCAGAGUAGUGAUUUUGAUCUGAUUAUGUUAUUUGAAAUGUAUCUUUUUGACCAGUAGUAGUAUAUUUUUUUUUAUACAAUACUCUCAUGGAGAAUUAUGGGUUAAAAAUUGGGUGAUGGUGGGUUUAUAAAAAAACUGUCAUAAGGUUAGUUUUAAACUCUCACUAUUUUGGCUUAAGUAAUGUUUAGUAAUCUAGCAAAUUUUUGUUUUCCCUUGGGUAAUCAGCUGUUGUUGUAUGCAGAGUAAGACAUUUAACACAACAAGGCUGUGAAAUUGAGAUAAUAGUAUUAUUAUAUUUUGUUGUUGAACAAGGUUAUAAAGUUAGCAAGAAUAAGUUUAAUAAUGGUAGACUCAUUUUAAGUAUUUAGGACAUUCUGAGCCAACAGGACAGGGAUGUAUACUGUGGUGAUUCAGGAUCAUUGAGAGAAUCGAGAAACUUUAUCAACCAGGUAAUAAUCUUAAAGAUUACUACCAUAAACAUGUUGAUUUUUCUAAGAAUCCAUGAGUACAGACAGGGAGACAUUGAGACAUUUAGUCAAUAUUUGGAAACAACCCAUAUUUGAUACUGACUGCUAUAAGAAAGAAUGACAGACUGAAGGAAGGACAGACGGAGAAGUCCUCCCCGCACUGCUGAGACCUUGAUGGUUGGGGAGUAGCAUGAGGAGAGAAGAUAGAAGUGACACAGAAUGGGUAGAUAACAGUUACUGAGUGGAGACCAGCAUAGUUCAAAUAUAAACAGGAUUAGAUGGCAGAGUGUAAAGCUCUCCUGAGAAAUGGGGGACAGAAAUAAUAGUGACAGACAGAAUAAGAAUAAAAGGGGGAGAGAAUUUGAUUCACUUCGUUUUAGGACAUUAAUUCAUGGAGAGACUGUUGGCUCCAUUUGUUUUAAAAAUAUGACAAGUUAGGAGGGCAGGCAUGUUUUUUAUUUUGAGUGUAUGUUUAGUAAAUUCGCUAGGAAGAGAUAUGAUGAUUUUGUUGGAAGUAGUUGUUACCCUAACUAAAAGGGGAAUGAAAGCUUAGUUGGUUUCAGGAACUAAGGUGUUAGACACUGAACCCAGAAAUUAUUCUGCACAACAGGCUGAAAUAGUAGCAUUGACUAGAACCUGCGAAAUAAGAAAGGAGAGAAAGGUUACUAUUUACAGAGACAAGUACAUAGGCAUUUUAAUCCAUACAAAGCAGCACAGAAAUAUUAAAGAAGAUAGGACACUUGACAGAGAAUUGUUACAGGAUAGCCAAGAACGAACGCCCCAGGAAGAAUUGGACAUGUGGGAAAUGAAAGGGGCAAUCCUAGCAGACAAGGUCUGACAUAAGGAUAAUUUACUAAACUUACCAAAGUCAUUGUUUAGAUAUGCAGCAAUAUUGACACAUGGGCAGAGCCAGGUGUCAACAGGGAGGAAGGAUGGUAGAGCAGGUUAGGAAACACUACAGGUUAGGAAAGACUUAGUGUCCUAGAGGAUAAUUACUUUUAAAAAAUGUUUUUGUAGAAUAUCCACUCCAACAUUUGGAAAUGGACUAAAUUGAACUAUUCCGAAGUGGUGUUUAAAAAUAAUAGAUAAGUAUAUUAAAUGGGUAGAAGCAUUCCCAACUAACUUGGCGGACAUGAUUAUGGUAGUUAAAAUAUUAGGUCAAGAUAUUAUGCCUAGAGUUGGUUUACUAGGAUCUAUUUCUUUAAAUAAUGGAUGGCAUUUGAGCUAAUCAGGUAGAACAAAUAGAAUGCCAGAGUUACGGACAGGACAGGUAGACAUGGAAGUUGAAGAUAUACUAGCAGAACACAUGGGAAGACUUUUUGUUAACCAAACCCGUAUGUCCAAGAUUGUGUCCAACAGGUGAAUUACAGGAGAAGGUGAUUCACUCAAUCAUACCAGGAGACUGGGUGUGGAUCCAGUCCCUGAGGAGAAUAGUCUGGAAGCAGCCCUAUUGGAAAGGCCCAUACCAGGUUCUGUUAAACCACCGCCUUUGCCAUUUGAAUAGCUGAGAGUCACUUGGGUCCCCGUUACCCACUGCAAGAAGGUGUGUACACAUAUGAGCACGGCUGAUCACACACAGAGUUAGGAGAAGAACCGAGUACCAACAGGGUCCGGGGGUUACCUCCUUAACGAAUAUUUCCUAUCCUGACCGUUCAUCACUGUGGGUGCUCCUAAAAAUGUGAGUAUGGGGUGGUACCUAGCAGACUGACUAAGGGCAGGAGAGGGUUGGUGGUUUUUGGGAAGAGUAGGGACUCUGACGUGCAUCAUAGUCUUGGUAAUCUUUCUGAUACAUCCAGAUCUACCACCUUUAGGUACUAAUUAUAUGACGCCGUUGUCAUUGAUAAGAAGUAAUAGAUAUACUAUUGUCACUAUCGUUGUAUGGAGGGGACCAAAGCGCAGCGUGGUUAGAAUACAUUCUUCUUUAUUGAAUGAAGAACACAGAAGACUUAAACAAAAAGAUUACAACGACCAUGACCGCUAUAUAAACACUGUGCUAACAUGCAACAUAACAUAGACAAUAACCCACGAAAUACCCAAAGAAGAUGGCUGCCUAAAUAUGGUUCCCAAUCAGAGACAACGAUAAACACCUGACUCUAAUUGAGAACCAAUCUAGGCAACCAUAGACCUACAUAAACACCUUAGAUGGAAACAACCCCAUAAAUCUACAAAAACCCCUAGACAGUACAAACACCCUAGAUGAGACAAAAACACACAUCACCCUUGUCACACCCUGACCUAAACAAAAUAAUAAAGAAAACAAAGAAUACUAAGGUCAGGGCGUGACAACUAUACUAUAUACUCACUGAUGAGUGACUUACAGAAUAAGGAGUCAAAGAAGAUCAAGAUGUAGGAUUUAAGGUAAACAUUAAACAAUUCCCUAGGAAAGCAAAUAACUUUACAGGGACUGGGUUGGCCGGAUUGAAGUUCUCGGACAACCCACCUCGGUUCACUUUAACUCCUGAUGAGUACCAGUGUUAUAGAUACAAGAAUGGCACCAAUAACUUAGAUGAUUCUUAUGGCUGAAAGGUAAUCGUUAAUGUGACUGACUUAGGCUUGGAAGUACAGGAGAAAAGGACGCAUACGACAAACUACCAAAAAGGGUGGUUAGGAACUUGCGCCCCAGGGUUAUUGCUCCAACCAGUUCGAGUUAGUCAUCAGAGGCCAGUUAUAGGAGGCUAAAGUAGGCACAGGAGGAGUUUUGACCAGGAUGGGAGUCUAGAUGGAUGCUGAUGAAUCAAAUAGGUGAAGGCUUUGCAACUACAUUAUUUUGGUGGUUGACAAUAAAUAAAAAUGUGGAUUGGAUUAGUGACAUUUAUUAUAAUCAACAGAGAUUCGUGAAUGAUUCUGGGGAUGCAGUAAAGGGGUUCUCUGACCAAUUAUCCGCCACCUCCCUCAUGACCUGGUAAAAUAGACUGACUCUCGAUAUGUUAUUGGCAGAAAAGGGCGGGGUAUGUAGAAUGAUUGAGGUUCAUUGCUGUACGUUUAUUUUUUAAAUAACACCGCUGCAGACGGAUCAGUGACCAAGGCCCUGGCUGGUUUAACCACAGCUCACGAAUGAGCAGAGAACUCUGGGGUGGAUAAUUCUCAAACAAAUUGGUUUGACAGUAUGUUUGGGAAAUGGAUAAAUGUCAAUCACUGUGUUGUGGGCAACCUUCACCUGUAUGACUGUGUUGAUAUCCUGUGGCUGUUUGAUUCUGUGUGUGAGGUCUCAUUUCCAGAUCUCUGGAGAGGUCAAUGACGCAACAGAUAGUGAGAUACGGACCGAUUCCGAGCUCCGUCCAGUGGGAUGAUGAAUACAGGCUUCCAGGCCUAGGAGAUGGCUAUGCUCCUCUUUUAACUACGAGGAGCCAAUGUUAGAUGAGACUAUUUUAGCUGUUUAAGCAGAGACUGUUACUUUCAUGAAGAUUAUGAUGAUAAAUCCUAAACCGGAAGAGUUAUAAUUGGAUAUAAGCUUAGAACAGUCAUUGAUGAGUAAUCGAAUGUAAAUACAUGUAUUGGUUUGGUUUAUUCUUGUAACAUUUAUGUUUCCAUAUACUGUUUGAAAAAUCAGUGUGUCUUAUUUAGUCAUUAAGGGUGGAUUGAUAAAAUAGUUUAUACGAUUAAAAGAUCAUGAUUAAAUAAUUCUACCCGGAAUCUUAACCAUUAGGGAUUAGAGCUUAUGUAGCAUGUAUAAGGAGUAAUUAAAAAUAUUAAACAUCAGUCCAACUAGGUUAGACUGGGAAAGAGAGGAAUGUGUGUGCCUCCGUAAACACAAAGAACAAUUCAACUGUGUUUGAACCGAUCUGGCUAGAACUCUGAGAAACUUAUGAUAGGACCGGGGGUACUUCUCAAGGUUUCUCUAAUCUAAGGGGAAAGGAACUAUCGGCUGGGUAGUGAUACAGUGUUGAGAACUCUGGAGAAAGAUACCACUCACCUACUGUUCAUGUGCAUAGGAUAUGUAUGGUUUGUGAGAAAGUAUGUGCGUAAGGAAGGAGCAAGAUAUAAAAGGGAUGUAUUUGUAUAAUGGAUUCACUCUCGUGAAUAAACCUUUUGACUAUUGUAAGCUGGAACUCGUGUCUGUUUCAGAAUCUUACAAACUCUGGGUUGCAGAC
ensembl:lncRNA